CUCUGCUGGAGCACUCCGUGUUCCUGGUGCUCCGUUCUGGCUAUGGAGAGCCCAUUUCCCUGCCAUGGGAAUUCCCUGGAUGUUCUCAGCAGCCUCUGGGAUUCUUCUGCCCGUGAACAGAGCCAUUGUGCCGAUCAAUCAUCCAGUACCACCUUCCAGAAAUAUUUGCUGAGAGAUUUCCUUGUGUUUUGUGUUCUUGCUGGCUUGGGAGGGCUCCUCCUCUGUGCCACCAAAAAGGAGGAUGAGCUGGCUUUUCCCCCUUCACCAGUCAAUAUUUACUCUCCCAGGCAAACUGUUAAAACGCUGCUGCUCUCCCGUUUUUGGUGUUUGUUCCUCCUGCCCCGGAGUCUCCCAAACUGGCAGCUUCUGUUGGUGCAGCAGUGGCCCGUGGGGGUUCCUGAAGAUGAGGAAUCUCCUCCUCUGAGUUCCAGAGUGUUCCAGCCCCGAGGAGGGCUGCAGUUUGGGAAGGGGAAGCCACAGGACCAUUCCUUCCAUCCCAAGGUGGAAUCUUGAGAGGAAACCACAGGAGCGUUUAUUCAAUCCCAAAUCUUGCACAAAAAUCCAGGAGGGAAGGGACACUUGGUGUCUUCCCAAAAAGAAAUGUCCCCAGGCAGGGCAGAAUGGAGCUUGGACUAAAGCCUCGUCCUCACACUCUGGGAUUGUCCCCAAAACCUGCAGCAGGUGGUGAUAAAAAAGAGCUUUUUAUGCGUCACCUUCUCUCUUCCCAGAGCUCUCCCUUGUGUUUGGGUCGUGCCAGCCCCAUCCCAGCGUUUUCUGCACCAAAAUCUCACCAAAAUCAUCCACCCUGGAGGUGGAUGAGGAUUUGGA